UACGAAGGGGGCUAGCGUUGUUCGGAAUUACUGGGCGUAAAGCGCACGUAGGCGGAUAUUUAAGUCAGGGGUGAAAUCCCGAGGCUCAACCUCGGAACUGCCUUUGAUACUGGGUAUCUGGAGUCCGGAAGUGGUGAGUGGAAUUCCGAGUGUAGAGGUGAAAUUCGUAGAUAUUCGGAGGAACACCAGUGGCGAAGGCGGCUCACUGGUCCGGUACUGACGCUGAGGUGCGAAAGCGUGGGGAGCAAACAGG
rnacentral:rRNA from 1 species